AGGAUCAGAAGCUCAUUAACUUCUGUGGCCAUCAUACCAUCAGAAAAUAGAGCAAAUAAAUCCCAAGCCACAUCUGUUGGACUGCAGGACACACAAUAUUUCUUCUAUGCUAAACAGGCGGCUGAUCUGCUGACUCAAGGAAUGUUUCUGACUUCCUGCCUUGUAACCACAUAUUCACUGAGCCUGCUCUGCACAUGAAGUGGAGACCUGUCCCUCCCUGGGGACCUGUGGGGAACUGCUGCGCUUAUUUAUCAUUUAGGAAGCAUCUGCUCUUUGGUGAAAUAUCACCCUCAUGAACAAACACAGUGCCGGGUUUGACCUUUCCUGAUGAGCUUUGGCUUUGGCUUCUUUGCUCACUGCGAGGAAUGAAGCAGAUCUGAGGAGAUGGGCAAAAUCUGGAAAAGAAAUCAGCCUCACAGGUGCCAAGAAUGCAAGGCAGGCAUCAGCUGUGGUGGCUGUCAUCGCCUCGCUGUGGUGUUUCUUUGCAGAGACAGCCGGCAACUGCCAGGCAGAGCAU
rnacentral:lncRNA from 1 species